AGUGAACGCUGGCGGUAGGCCUAACACAUGCAAGUCGAACGGCAGCACAGUAAGAGCUUGCUCUUACGGGUGGCGAGUGGCGGACGGGUGAGGAAUACAUCGGAAUCUACUUUUUCGUGGGGGAUAACGUAGGGAAACUUACGCUAAUACCGCAUACGACCUACGGGUGAAAGCAGGGGAUCUUCGGACCUUGCGCGAUUGAAUGAGCCGAUGUCGGAUUAGCUAGUUGGCGGGGUAAAGGCCCACCAAGGCGACGAUCCGUAGCUGGUCUGAGAGGAUGAUCGGCCACCCUGGAACUGAGACACGGUCCAGACUCCUACGGGAGGCAGCAGUGGGGAAUAUUGGACAAUGGGCGCAAGCCUGAUCCAGCCAUACCGCGUGGGUGAAGAAGGCCUUCGGGUUGUAAAGCCCUUUUGUUGGGAAAGAAAAGCAGCAGGUUAAUACCCCGCUGUUCUGACGGUACCCAAAGAAUAAGCACCGGCUAACUUCGU
rnacentral:rRNA from 1 species